GGGUCUGUUGCUCAGUGGAAGAAUAACUGGCUUGCAUGCAGGAGGUCACAGGUUCAAUCCCCAGUGUGACCAG